UGAUUACUCCGGGCGUCCUCUCUCCUCACCUUCUCAAAACCCAAUGGAGGAGAAGGUCAGAGGGGCUUCGCGUCCAAUGGGUUUCAAGAAGAAGACGAGGAGAGACGACACGAGGAGUACGCAAUUGAGAUCUUCCCAAAGAGACGGCGGUAGAGGAAGGGAGGGAGGGUGAGCAAGGGAAGGAAGGAGAGAGUGAGAAAAAUGUGUUGGGGGGAGGAGAGAAUGGAGGAGAAGGAGCAAGAGCAGAACGGAGAGCUGGAGUAAGAGACAUGGACAGACAGUGAGGCAGAAAGAAAGAGAUGGGAAAAGAAAAAAGGAGGGAAAAAAAGGGAGAGGGAAAGAGAAAGAAAGAGGCAGCAGGAGACAGGGAGAGAGCAAUGGAGAGAAAGGUGAGGGCCGGAGAGGAGAAGAGAGGCUUUAGGGAAUGGAUGGAUUCUGGGUCUCCAUGCCCGUGGGGGAGAUUAACCCUUUGUGGAGAAACUAGCCUCUGAACCACUCUGCUCUUCUCGAACCCCCCCCCCCAAUCUUCCUCAACGAGGACUUCUCUAAAGCUGUGCGCCAGAGGCGGAAAGAUCUUAUCCCAGCUAUGGAAGCUGACAGAGAGCGUGUGGACAUUGAUUACAUCCGCUACGACAAGCUCAUUGUCCACCCUCCCUCCCAAAAAACCUGGGAAGAGAGAGAGAGCCAAGCUUCCGGGAAGCUGCUUUUCGGCAAAAGCUAAUGGGGAUCCGAAUAAACCAAACGCUCCUCUCCUCUCCCCACCCUGACCAAGGGGCUGAAGAAGCAGCCUACUCACAGACCACCUGAAGAGGGCGCUGUGGCUUGUGUUUUCCAAAUGAAAUGGAAACUGUCAGUGUGGGUCUUACAGUUUACAAUUGUGUAAUGACUUUCUCUCUUAAUUAAAAAGGUAAUUUUCAUUACAUGUUUAUUUGAGAAAAUCCUGUCCCGGGCAAGUUUUUGAGAGUGUGAGAAUAUGUUAACUGAGCAUUUUUGACAAGAGUGGCACAAUCCCCACAACAACACACUACGCGCCAGUGGGCCACUGUUUAACAGCAGUCGGAGCUGUGUAUCGGCAGUGUUUAAAGUAUUUAAGUAAAAAAAACUUUAAUGUACUACUUAAAUCGUGUUUUGUGGCAUCUUUACUUUACUAUUUAUAUUUUUGACAACUUUUACUCCACUACAUUAGUAAAGAAAAUGUAAUUUUUCACUGACACCCAAAAGUACUCGUUCCAUUUUGAAUGCUGAACAGGAAAAUUCUCCAAUUCCCCCACUUAUCAAGAGAACAUCCCUGCUCAUCCCUACUGCCUCUGAUUUGGAGGACUCAGUAAACACAAAUGCUUCAUUUGUAAAUUAUGUCUGAGUGUUGCAGUGUGCCCCUGACUAUCUGUAAAUUAAAAAACAAGAAAACCA